rnacentral:rRNA from 1 species
UACAGAGGGUGCGAGCGUUAAUCGGAAUUACUGGGCGUAAAGCGCGCGUAGGCGGCUUUGCAAGUCGGGUGUGAAAUCCCCAGGCUUAACCUGGGAACUGCAUUCGAGACUGCAUUGCUAGAGUAUGGGAGAGGGAAGUGGAAUUUCCGGUGUAGCGGUGAAAUUCGUAGAUAUUCGGAGGAACACCAGUGGCGAAGGCGGCUCACUGGUCCGGUACUGACGCUGAGGUGCGAAAGCUAGGGGAGCGAACAGG